rnacentral:rRNA from 1 species
UGGGGAAUAUUGCACAAUGGGCGCAAGCCUGAUGCAGCCAUGCCGCGUGUGUGAAGAAGGCCUUCGGGUUGUAAAGCACUUUCAGCGAGGAGGAAGGUGGUGAACUUAAUACGUUCAUCAAUUGACGUUACUCGCAGAAGAAGCACCGGCUAACUCCGUGCCAGCAGCCGCGGUAAUACGGAGGGUGCAAGCGUUAAUCGGAAUUACUGGGCGUAAAGCGCACGCAGGCGGUUUUGUUAAGUCAGAUGUGAAAAUCCCCGGGGCUCAACCUGGGAACUGCAUUUGAAACUGGCAAGCUAGAGUCUCGUAGAGGGGGGUAGAAUUCCAGGUGUAGCGGUGAAAUGCGUAGAGAUCUGGAGGAAUACCGGUGGCGAAGGCGGCCCCCUGGACGAAGACUGACGCUCAGGUGCGAAAGCGUGAGGAGCAAACAGGAUUAGAUACCCUGGUAGUCCACGCUGUAAAACGAUGUCGAUUUUGGGAGGUUGUGCCCCUUGAGGCCGUGGCUUCCGGAGCUAACGCGUUAAAUCGACCGCCUGGGGAGUAC